GUUCAGUGCGUUGGUUGGUAGCCAUUGAGAGAGGAAGGUCUCUCUGUUCAGAAGUUAUGAUGUUUAUUACACUUUAACAUGUUUCUUUUUGGUUGGAAACAGUUCAUCUUUGUAUAAGUGUUCUUCAUUGUGGAUGAUGGCGUAUAUCUUAUUUGUGUAAAAGGGCCAAAGAUCCUACAGAUCUUGCCUACCUUGUUCACAUGCUUAUAUGAUUACGUAGACUGAUGGUUGGUUUACAAGAUGUACCGGUAUACUUUGUGAAUAUGUCAGAUGAACUGUUGUAAAUAAUGUAAACAUUUGGUUUGUCAAUAAACUACAUAUGAUCGAA